rnacentral:rRNA from 1 species
ACGGGAGGCAGCAGUGAGGAAUAUUGGACAAUGGGGGCAACCCUGAUCCAGCCAAACCGCGUGAGGGAUGAAGGUCCUACGGAUCGUAAACCUCUUUUAUGUGGGAAUAAUUAGCGGAACGUGUUCCGCUUUGAAGGUACCACUUGAAUAAGCAUCGGCUAACUCCGUGCCAGCAGCCGCGGUAAUACGGAGGAUGCAGGCGUUAUCCGGAUUUAUUAGGUUUAAAGGGUGCGCAGGCGGGACAUUAAGUCGGUGGUGAAAUACCGUGGCCCAACCACGGGGCUGCCAUCGAUACUGAUGACCUUGAGUGCGUGUGACGUAGGCGGAAUGUGGAGUGUAGCGGUGAAAUGCUUAGAUAUGUCACAGAACCCCGAUUGCGAAGGCAGCUUACCAAGAUACAACUGACGCUGAGGCACGAAAGCGUGGGUAUCAAACAGGAUUAGAUACCCUGGUA